rnacentral:rRNA from 1 species
CAGCAGCCGCGGGAAUACGAAGGGGGCUAGCGUUGCUCGGAAUGACUGGGCGUAAAGGGCGCGUAGGCGGAUUGCGCAGUCAGAUGUGAAAUUCCUGGGCUUAACCUGGGGGCUGCAUUUGAGACGCGUAGUCUAGAGUGUGAAAGAGGGUCGUGGAAUUCCCAGUGUAGAGGUGAAAUUCGUAGAUAUUGGGGAGAACACCGGUGGCGAAGGCGGCGACCUGGUUCAUAACUGACGCUGAGGCGCGAAAGCGUGGGGAGCAGACAGGAUUAGAUACCCCUGUAGUCCCUGUCUCUUAUAC